UUUGACGAAGACGGGUAAAAACCUGUUGACAAGUCAGCAUAAAGAAAUCUCGAAUUCAUAUGGAAGUGCAUUGCGGAUAGAGCUUGUAUUCUUGGAUGUUUCCUGGCAAAACAUUCGAUUCCGAUGUCUCCCUCACCACUAAACCCUCAAUGAAAAAUAUGUUGGAAAUAUUUGUCUCCAAUACUUAUAUGUGAUUUAUGUGCGCAUAUAGUGAAAUUAUCUGUGCGUGUAAAUUGUGUUACUUGUAUUGAAACAUAUUGAACUGCCCUUUACCUGUCAGUCAUUGUUGAUAGCACAAGUAAGUUUCAUUUGAUUUUGCACUCAAUGUUUUUAGAUUUGGAAAAACUUAUUGCGGAGAGCAUGAAACAGAUGCUUGCAAAAGAUAUAGAGAUUGAAAUUCUCAAGGUAAAGGUGUCAAACG